UACCAGCACCCCGAGUGGUCGGGACGUUUAUUGGGCCUAAAGCAUCCGUAGCCGGUUCUACAAGUCUUCCGUUGAAUCCAACUGCUUAACAGGUGGGCUGCGGAAGAUACUAUAGAGCUAGGAGGCGGGAGAGGCAAGCGGUACUCGAUGGGUAGGGGUAAAAUCCGUUGAUCCAUUGAAGACCACCAGUGGCGAAGGCGGCUUGCCAGAACGCGCUCGACGGUGAGGGAUGAAAGCUGGGGGAGCAAACCGG
rnacentral:rRNA from 1 species